ensembl:lncRNA
AAAGUAAGGUGGAGUAAGUCUGUAGGCGAAUACCUCAACCUUGCAGCGAGACUUCAGUGCUUGACCUCUGACGUGAACUCCGCUCUGCUGGUAAUGACCUCUCAGUGCAUCGCUGUUUUCCGAGACCGGCAUGGAAGGUAUGGCUAUUUUGACCCACACACUAGACGACCUGAUGGACUUCCCUCUGGCCCAGAUGUACCCGGCACAGCUGUCAUGUUGACUUUCACGCGUUUAAAUGACCUGGUAAAAAGUUGAUCGCAAGCUUUUUACUAUGUUAGGCUCCAGCCCUUAUGCACCAUAUGAGCUCGUUCCUGUGCUUUUUAACAGUGAGGAUGAAUUCUCUGUGGAUGGAGUUUUGGCAAAUGUAGACUCUAAUGCAGAUACUGCUGAGUGCACUCCCUGUGAUGAAAUAUCAGACGCUUGAACUCAUGCACGUUUGUAGCGUGAAGUUACGGUGGAAUGCGAUACAUCUGACAAACCCCAACAGAUGCCAAAUCUAUCAAAAUAUUCAAAGAACAAAGGGUAAAGUUUGAAAAAGACUAAAGGCUUUGGAGGUGACGAAAGCUAAACAUAGCAAAAAUGUUGAAACUGCAAAACAAAAAAAUAGAAAAGAGAGGGAAAGGUAUGCUAAAGAUAAAUAUGUCGACAAAAAGAGAUCCUGUGAAACCAACAGUUACAGAAAAAAAAAGAUGUCCUACAUAGCCACUCGCUAUCAAAGAGACUCUAACUAUAAGCAGAGGCAGGGGUCAUACAUAAGAAACCGUUACAGGCAAGACAAAAGCUUUAAUCAGAGGCAGAGGUCAUACACCAACACCCGCUAUCGCUUAAAUGCUCAUUUCAGGCAAACCCGAAAGUCUUAUAUUACCAAUCGUUAUGCAAACGACCCUGCAUUCAGAUCGAAACAGAAAGAAACGAUGAGACGACGCAUGCGCGAUAAAUACAGUAACAACCAUUCGUUUGGCAUGACUUACAACAUGUAUUGUGCAAUGAAAAUAAGACAAAAGUACAGAAACGUAAUCAGAAGACCCAACCAAGUGGAUGACAGUCGGCCGAACCAAAUGGAUAACAAUGUGAUCAGGGAUGCUAUUGAGGUUUUUCGAUCCAACAUCAAAAAUGGGCCGACCUUUGCGUGUACAGUUUGCCACCGUGCGUUGUUUGCAAAUCAAGUGCGAUACUGCGAUAGGUCAAAGUAUACUCAGAACACAGAUGUUGUUGAAACCUGCCUUACAGGGAAGUUUGUUCACGUUUGUAACGAUUCUUGUGAAAAUCCAGAGCAGUGCAAUGUACCAAAUGAGAGAAAGAGAGAGUGGAUCUGUCACUGUUGUCACGAACAUCUUAAAAAUGGCCGCAUGCCACAACUCGCCAUCGCAAAUAAUUUACAGCUCGCAGAUAUUCCACCUGAACUGUGUGACUUAAACAUAUUGGAGAGACAUCUCAUUAGCAAAUACAUCACGUUUGCCAAAAUAAUCCCGCUUCCCAAAGGUCAACAACGAGCCAUUCAUGGCAAUGUAAUAUGCGUCCCAUCAGAAGUGCAGGAAACUGUCAAUGCCUUGCCCAGACUUAGAAGUGAAUCUCAAGUCUUGAGAGUGAAGCUAAAGAGACGUUUGUGUUAUAAAGGUCAUCAGCUAUUCCAAACUGUAACCUGGACUAAACUAGUGAGGGCUUUGCUUAAGCUUAAAGAGGUCCAUCCACAGUACAACGACAUAACCAUCAGAGAUGAGGCUGAAUUAUGCGAUCAACUCUAGAUGAGGACGAAGAGACUGAAAGCAUAGAUGACACAGAUUUUAAUGCUGAAGAUAUGAUGGAAAUCGACAGCUUUGAGAACGGUGCACUUUGCGAGGCAGAACCUGAAAACAAUGAACAGGCUAUUGAUUCAAUUGAAUUAAGUCAGCAGUCAAACAGCAAUCAACAGGAGGGUGAUGAACCUAAUGGCGGCAUUGCUCUCGAGUCAUGUCUGCAGCCAACUGACAUUUCAGAGGAAAUUUUGAGCUUUAGCGAAGGAAUAUAUUCGGUUGCGCCCGCUGAAGGAAACAAACCAGUAAGCUUUUUCAAAACUCCUAACCUUGAGGCGAUGGCUUUCCCCGUUCAGUUUCCGACGAGCAAAAACACAAUCGAUGAAGAGCGUCCGAAGAAAUUAACUCCCUGCAGUUAUUUCAAAAGUAGACUGAGCUGCAUCGACGACCGUUUUGCAAGAGAUACAAACUAUUUGUUCUUUGCACAGUUUGUACAAGAAAUAUAUCAGGCCACCUCCAGCAUGUCAAUACAAUUGCGCAAAGAAAACCGUAUACCCGCGACGGUCGCAAAAUAAACAAUGCAAUGUUGCAAGACAAACACGAGGUUGAAAAACUGGUACGUAACAAAGACGCAAUUCGAUUCAUGAAAGUUUU